rnacentral:rRNA from 1 species
UAGGGAAUCUUCCGCAAUGGGCGAAAGCCUGACGGAGCAACGCCGCGUGAGUGGUGAAGGUCUUCGGAUCGUAAAACUCUGUUAUUAGGGAAGAACAUAUGUGUAAGUAACUGUGCACAUCUUGACGGUACCUUAUCAGAAAGCCACGGCUAACUACGUGCCAGCAGCCGCGGUAAUACGUAGGUGGCAAGCGUUAUCCGGAAUUAUUGGGCGUAAAGCGCGCGUAGGCGGUUUUUUAAGUCUGAUGUGAAAGCCCACGGCUCAACCGUGGAGGGUCAUUGGAAACUGGAAAACUUGAGUGCAGAAGAGGAAAGUGGAAUUCCAUGUGUAGCGGUGAAAUGCGCAGAGAUAUGGAGGAACACCAGUGGCGAAGGCGACUUUCUGGUCUGUAACUGACGCUGAUGUGCGAAAGCGUGGGGAUCAAACAGGAUUAGAUACCCUGGUAGUCCACGCCGUAAACGAUGAGUGCUAAGUGUUAGGGGGUUUCCGCCCCUUAGUGCUGCAGCUAACGCAUUAAGCACUCCGCCUGGGGAGUACGACCGCAAGGUUG